UACAGAGGGUGCGAGCGUUAAUCGGAAUUACUGGGCGUAAAGCGUGCGUAGACGGUUAUGUAAGUCGGGUGUGAAAGUCCCGGGCUUAACCUGGGAAUGGCGUUUGGGACUGCAUGGCUAGAGUACGUCAGAGGGGGGUGGGAUUCCACGUGUAGCAGUGAAAUGCGUAGAGAUGUGGAGGAACACCAGUGGCGAAGGCGACUUUUUGGCCUGUAACUGACGCUGAGGCGCGAAAGCGUGGGGAGCAAACAGG
rnacentral:rRNA from 1 species